UACGAAUCGUACCAGCAGCAGCAAACAUCAUGGAGGCUUUCAAACUUAUAUUCAACGUAGUCGCGCUUAUGAUGGUCGCGUUCAUAUCUUUCGGCUACGCAGAGCCCGAGCCUGCUCCUGCUCCGGAAGCGGAUGCCGAUCCCAAGCAAAUAGAUUGGUUGAAGUUAGGAAAGAAGAUUGUGAGUGCAUUAGGAUGAUUCGACAGAUCAUUCAGUGAUUCGACAGAUUAUUCGAUGAUUUGACAGAUCAUUCGAUUGUUCGACAGAUACAAAUAAACAAUACUUAAUGAAGUGAAA